AUGGUGCGUUUACAGGCUGGACAUGGCUAAAUUAUCGGGCCUCGGGGAGCACGUGUCCAAGACGAGUGCUCGAGAUGAUAGGGUUCGCCUGUUUUACGCUGAGAGGUGGGGGCUUCUGAGAUACCGGCCCCACCUGUCAAUGAAGGUGUAUCAUCUCGCAGCAACGGCAUGAAUUGCAACGUCUUUCCUUGCGUACCAGCGGAACCAUCAAUCAUGGCGAUUGAUCUCCUGCGGCAACGGUGGAGGUGUGUUAGCGUUCCCUUUAUUUAGCUUCCCGUCUCGUUGUCUCCGUAUAUUCCAUUCUCUUCUGUUUCCUCUCUUUGUUCCUUAUUCCAGUGGCGGCGACCCAUCCGACUGCUGUGAAACCCUACACCAACAUCCAGUCGUCCAGGGAUGGCGACGGCAAGCGGUCGCUGAUUAACAACCAUGGUGCUCGAGCAACUUCUGUUGGUACCUUCUUCUCGCGCUGCUCUCUAUGUGCAGCAACACCACCACCAACAUUAAAGCAUAGACACACACCAUAUACUGGCUAAUUUCUUAGUCCAAGAAUUCCUUCUACCAAUUCUGGUUCCUGGUUUUACUUUAUUGAACCACCUCCUUUCUUUAUCACGGAAGUAUGAGGGAAUUUUACUUUCUCAAAUUCAUUAUUUCUGAUUGAUAUUAACUGUGUUGAUCACAAGCAUUAGGAAGUUUUACUGGCACUAAAGAUCCUUAGACUCUGUAAAAUCAACACAUGACAUACACAACGGAUGCAUUCAUAUUUCUCAAGUUUUUUAAUUGAAAACGUGAAGGCAGAUAAUGGGCAAGAGUUAUGUUGAUGACAAUGAUGAGAAGGGGUGUAGCAUUUUCCUUCUGGUAAUAGAUUAUUGAAAGUUCCGGAUACAGUUUAUGUAUUAUUGAGGUGCACUAAACUGCUCAUGAAUGGUAAUUGAUUAUUCGGUUCCAAAUGCAGUUUUUGUAUUUCUGAGGUGCAAAGCAUGAUGAUGCACUGUACUGCCCAUGAAUGAUAUUUUGUGUUUCUGACCAAAGAUCGAUCGGAGUAUAUUUUUUUGAUAAAAGGGGUGUGAACUAAAUUGGCAGUGUAGUUGUAAGGUAUCAUUGUAGCUUUUCCUUAUUAUUUUUAUCCUGUUGUAUAUGAAUUCCAGGGUUACGGUACCUACAUCAUGAGCUUCUAACCUUGGUAGUUAUUUUGUUGACUCAGUUGUGUUCUGGACCUCUCUAGAGCCAAAUGAUGUUCAUCCUUUUAUCGAUGCAACUAUUCUUCAGGAGAGUUCCGCGGUGAGCUCUGUAGUUCAAAAGUUCCUUUAAUGGGCUGAUUUUGGUUAUUUUUUCAUGCCACAUAUUUUUUCUGCAGUGAGCUCUGUAGAUUUUAAAUUUUGUAAGAAGGCCACAAGUUUUUAAAAAUGAUUGACACCCUGUAUUUCAGUGGUAAAGGUGAUCUGGCCUUCUGCAAAUAGUUGGCUCAGCAGCUGGUAAUGCGGGUUACUCUUUCUGCAACAAAGUUCUCCUUAUUUACUCCAUCAUCUUCACAAUUCGCAUAAUAUCAAUGUGAUCCACUUGCUUCAUGUCGUUUUGGGCAUUUUCAUUUUAUCUAGGCCCAGGUUUUAUUCACAGUUUUUUUUGUACUCUCAUGAUUGUUUUAAUUGAUAUCCAUCCUAUAGUCUAUGCUACUAUUUUUCACAUCCUUGUUUUUACUUUCUCUUUUACUUUGCUAUCAUGUGCUGGCUACAAUUCUGAAGUUUAUAUUAUUUUAGAUGAUGCAAGGCCAUUGUACACCUGUUUUAUGACUCAUCUUAGUAUAUUGCACAAGAAAUUGUCAUAAAAACUUCAAUCACCAUUACAUUCCCUAAAAAUAAAUGUUUCAAUUAUGAAAACUCAUUAACACAGCAAAUUCCCUGUAUGUCGGUUGAUAUUCGACAAUUUGGUGCAGAUUUCUAUUAGGAUAGCAUAAUCGACCUUUACAUAUUAAUCCUAAGCUGCUCAGAUGUUGUGGCUGUACAAGCAUUGGUGACUAUUGCAUGAAUCAACAUGAUAGAGCCUGAGCGGCACGCCGCGCUCUUUCCAGGAAUCGCCAGGCAAGUUGCUGGAGCCUAAUUUGCUUUUGAAGGUUCGGGCCGGGGUCAGUGGCCUAAAGGAUCGCAAUUGCUUCCAGCAGGCAGGUAGCGGUCAAAUAAUUGAAGACGUUCAUGGUGAUUAUUGCAGACCUUGAGUGCUUUUACAUAGAAGUUCUGGAUGCUUUUUGUAGAAAAUAACCUUUGUUAGAACUUCUUCGGAAUACAUGUGCAAAUAAAAUCACCUUGCUCUACCAGGACUAACUCCCAACGAUCUUAACAACCCCUGCAAAUAAUGCCUCCUGUAUUAAGGACAAUCUAUCUGCCACGGGAUGUUAAGAUGGCUUUGUAUUGCUCCUUGAGACCUUGAUAUAGGUGGCCUCGAUCUGGUUCUGAGAGUAGAGAGCUCAUUCCUGCCUGCAGGGUGUAGCAUUUGGUUAGUAAAUUUUAGACAAACGAACUGAAUUCUGGUUUUA